AGACCCGAAACCCGGUGAUCUAGCCAUGGGCAGGUUGAAGGUUGGGUAACACUAACUGGAGGACCGAACCGACUAAUGUUGAAAAAUUAGCGGAUGACCUGUGGCUGGGGGUGAAAGGCCAAUCAAACCGGGAGAUAGCUGGUUCUCCCCGAAAGCUAUUUAGGUAGCGCCUCGUGAAUUCAUCUCCGGGGGUAGAGCACUGUUUCGGCUAGGGGGCCAUCCCGGCUUACCAACCCGAUGCAAACUGCGAAUACCGGAGAAUGUUAUCACGGGAGACACACGGCGGGUGCUAACGUCCGUCGUGAAGAGGGAAACAACCCAGACCGCCAGCUAAGGUCCCAAAGUCAUGGUUAAGUGGGAAACGAUGUGGGAAGGCCCAGACAGCCAGGAUGUUGGCUUAGAAGCAGCCAUCAUUUAAAGAAAGCGUAAUAGCUCACUGGUCGAGUCGGCCUGCGCGGAAGAUGUAACGGGGCUAAACCAUGCACCGAAGCUGCGGCAGCGACACUGUGUGUUGUUGGGUAGGGGAGCGUUCUGUAAGCCUGCGAAGGUGG
rnacentral:rRNA from 4 species